rnacentral:lncRNA from 1 species
UUUAAUCAUGGCUUUAAUUUUUUAAAUAAUUUUUAGCAAAUAUGUAUGAAAUUUAUCUGAGCUAUAUAACCCAUUUUUUAUUCAACUAUCUAAUCUCUAUAAAAAAAUUGAAUUGGUAUCUAAUCUUUCAGUUUAUUUUAUUUGAACUGUUCGAUAUAAAAUUUAAAAACCCCGCUUGUUUUAAUAAAAAUAUACCCAUGCAAAUCUUAUAAUAUACUCUAAUUAGAUCUAUUAACAUAAACUGU